rnacentral:rRNA from 1 species
CCUACGGGUGGCAGCAGUGGGGGAUAUUGCACAAUGGGGGGAACCCUGAUGCAGCGACGCCGCGUGGGUGAAGGAGUGCUUCGGCAUGUAAAGCUCUAUCGGCAGGGAAGAAGCUAGCCGUUACCUGCCUAAGCAGCCCCGGCUAACUACGUGCCACCAGCGGCGGUAAUACGUAGGGGGCGAGCGUUACCCGGAUUCCCUGGGUGUAAAGGGAGCGUAGACGGCCAUGCAAGCCAGGGGUGAAAGCCCAGGGCCCAACCACGGGACUGCCCUUGAAACUGUGCGGCUGGAGUGCGGGAGGGGCAGGCGGAAUUCCUAGUGUAGCGGUGAAAUGCGUAGAUAUCAGGAGGAACACCGGCGGCGAAGGCGGCCUGCUGGACCGCGACUGACGUUGAGGCUCGAAAGCGUGGGGAGCGAACAGGAUUAGAUACCCCUGUAGUC